CAGCAGUAGCCACGGUAAUACGUAGGGUGCGAGCGUUAAUCGGAAUUACUGGGCGUAAAGCGUGCGCAGGCGGUUGUGUAAGACAGGUGUGAAAUCCCCGGGCUUAACCUGGGAACUGCGCUUGUGACUGCACAGCUAGAGUAUGGCAGAGGGGGGUGGAAUUCCACGUGUAGCAGUGAAAUGCGUAGAGAUGUGGAGGAACACCGAUGGCGAAGGCAGCCCCCUGGGCCAAUACUGACGCUCAUGCACGAAAGCGUGGGGAGCAAACAGGAUUAGAUACCCCCGUAGUCCCUGUCUCUUAUAC
rnacentral:rRNA from 1 species